UAGGGAAUCUUCGGCAAUGGACGAAAGUCUGACCGAGCAACGCCGCGUGAGUGAAGAAGGUUUUCGGAUCGUAAAACUCUGUUGUUCGAGAAGAAAAAGGACGUUAGUAACUGAACGUCCCCUGACGGUAUCUAACCAGACAGCCACGGCUAACUACGUGCCAGCAGCCGCGGUAAUACGUAGGUGGCAAGCGUUGUCCGGAUUUAUUGGGCGUAAAGCGAGCGCAGGCGGUUUCUUAAGUCUGAUGUGAAAGCCCCCGGCUCAACCGGGGAGGGUCAUUGGAAACUGGGAGACUUGAGUGCAGAAGAGGGGAGUGGAAUUCCAUGUGUAGCGGUGAAAUGCGUAGAUAUAUGGAGGAACACCAGUGGCGAAGGCGGCUCUCUGGUCUGUAACUGACGCUGAGGCUCGAAAGCGUGGGGAGCAAACAGG
rnacentral:rRNA from 1 species